rnacentral:rRNA from 1 species
AAGUAUACAAAGAAAUUAUUAUGAAAUCACAGCUAUUUAUCAAAGAGAGUAAUUUAGUUAGUACCCAUAAUAAUGGUGGAAGAUGCUAUAAACUCUAAGAGAAAUUAAUUAAUAAACGAAGUGAAUUGAAAUAUCUUAUUAACUUCAGGAAAAGAAAUCAAAUGAGAUUCUACGAUUAGUGUGAAUGAAAGUAGAUAAAGCCUAUAUAUUUAUUUCUUUGUGGUAAAGUAGUAAAGUAGUAAAUUAAAUAAGUAAAAUGGAGUACAUACCUAUUUGAACAUAAGGGGAACCUUCCUCUAAGGCUAAAUAUGAUAAAUAAGCGAUAGCGAAACAAAAAAAGUACCGUGAGGGAAAUUGAUUGAAAUAGUAAUUUUAUAAGCAGCUCAUAUAAAGUUUAAAUAAAAUAUAGAGCGUACCUUUUGCAUAAUGGGUCAGCAAGUUAAUAUUGGAUGCAAGCGUCUAAAAGAGUUGUUAUUUGUAUAUGGGAAGGAUUAUAUUUAGGCGCUGAAUCCCUAAAUAUAAUUUUUUUUAAUGUGCAAAUACUAAUUCCUAGUAAAUGCGAAGACAAAGCAGUUAUAAUAUAAUGAUUAGUAUCCAAGAUUAGACCCGAAGCCUAGUGAUCUUACCAUGAUCAGGGUUAUAAAAGCCCGUAUCGUUGUAAAGAUAUCCAAAGAAUUGUGGUAAGUUAGUGAAAGACAAAACUGACUAGGAUAGCUGGUGACUGUUUCUGCGAAACCUAUAUAAGUAGGUAAUUUAAAUUACAUCAUAGCAGGUACAGAAUUGUGAUCUCAAAGAACUUGCAUACUAUUACUAUAAAAAAAAGCGCACAGUUUUUGUUUUUUUUAAUAAUAUGACAUUUUACCCAAUGGGGGGGUGUAAAAACCCUAUUCGUGAGUAUUUGCACUCGAAAGGGCUAUGAUUGUAGUGAAUAAUCAGACAUAGUACGAUAAGGUUGUAUGUCUAAAGGGAAACAGCCCAGAACAAGAGUUAAUAAGGUUCCAAAAUUAUUGUUAAGUGAAAAUAAGGUAGUGUUUAUCUUAUUCGACUAGGAAAUAGGCUUGGAAGCGGCCAUUUUUUGAAGAUCUCGUAAAAGAGCACUAGUUUUUAAUGGAUAAUUGCACCAAAAAUUUAACGGAUCUAAACAAUAUACCGACACCUUGUACAUAAAUAGUUAUGUAUCUUAGUUAUACAUAAUAUAUAUGGGGUAGCAGAACGUAGGGCAAAUAUUCGAUUAUUUCUUUUUAAGAACUAAAAUUAUAUUACCCUAGUGAUAAUGCUGACAUGAGUAACGAUAAAGGGAAUAUUCCCUCGCCUAAAGCUUAUGGUAUUCUAUUAAAGUAACGGCCUCUAAGUUUAUUAUUAUAGUCCUAAAGGACUAAACGAUGAGAAAAUCUUGAUGUUUAUAUAAAUAACCUUAAGUAUGAAAAAUAUGCAUAUACUUAAGAAAUAGUAAGCGAGUAGUGCGUUAAGUGUAUAUAUUGACUGAAAAAUUAUGCUCCGCUUUAUGCAAGGCAAAAAAUAAAUUAUUUUUAUUAAAAUAUUCGUUGCAUAUGUUUGCAGAAGAUCUAUUUCUUAAAAGCAUUUUUUUUUAUAAGUGACGUAGGUUCUGGAAAAUAUUCUAUUCAGCAACCGUACCUAGAUACUACCCCAAGUAAGUUAGUAGAGAAUACGAAGGCGUUUGAGUGAACAAUCAUUAAGGAACUCGGCAAAAUGGCUCACGUAAUUUCGAGAUAAGGAGCGCCACUACUCUUGAUUAAUAUCAGGUAAAGAGGAGGAGGCAUAGAAUGGUGUUGUACGACUGUUUAAUUAAAACAAAGCACGCUGCGAAGAUAUAAAUCAAUGUAUUGAGUGUGAGCUCUGCCCGAUGCGGGCUGGUUAUCGGAUUUGCUUAGUUGACUUAGAUAAGCUAGGUUUUGAAGGAACCCCCUGUUAAUGGCGGCCUUAGCUAUAAGGGUCCUAAGGUAGCGGAAUACCCUGGCCGUUAAAUGCGGUCUUGCAUGAAUGACAUAACGAUACAACAGCUGUCUCAAUGAUUGGCUCAGUGAAAUUGGAAUAACUGUGCAGAUACAGUUUACCUCUAGAUAGACGAGAAGACCCUAUGCAGCUUUACUGUUGCUAGUUAUUGGGUAUGCCAAAAUGAUUCAUAAGGUAAUUGAUCAGAUUUAAUGAAACGCCUUUAUUUAUUUAUCAUACUAGAUCACCGGUUAUAUGUGGUAUAAUGCAAACAUAUUGUGUCUAAUGGCAUGUGUUGAUCUCUAACCACAAUAUUUUAUUUUUUAUAACAUGGAAAAUAAAAUAGGUGGAACAAUUGCUAGGUGGCGGUUUAUGAAUCUUGCUUUACUGAUUGACUCACACGUCUUUCAGUCGCGUAAGCGGGGCAUAUGAUCACAAGACGCUGAAUGGAAAGGUCUUGGAUUUUUGAAAAAGCUACGCUAGGGAUAACAGGCUAAUUGCGCAAGAGAGUUCAAAUUGAGUGCGCAGUUUGGCACCUCGAUGUCGGCUUAGCUUAUCCACAUGAAUGUAGGAAUCAUGAAGGGUUGGACUGUUCGUCCAUUAAAAAGCUACACGAGCUGGGUUAAAUACGUCGUGAGACAGUAUGGUUUCUAUCUUCUAGAGGAAAUUAGAGUAAAAUAAAAAUAGCCCCUUCGUACGAAAGGAGUUGGGUAUGUUAACCUAUGGUUUACCUGUUGUUUGUGUACCUAAUAUUAAUGUAAAAGCGAAGUUUUUGUAUAAUUAAAAUAUAUUUGUUUGCAAAGGUAGUUACUAUUCACUAUAGUAAAAUUUAGCACAGGCACGGCAGGAAAGCUAAGUUAAUUAAUGAUAAGUACUGAAAGCAUAUAGGUACGAAACUUAAUUUAAGAUACUCUUAUAUAAACGUAAUUUAACAUUACGACUUUUUAUUUAACUUACUUAUAUAUUAGGUUAAAUAUUAAUAGGCUUUAG